CGAGCGUGUCCAGACUGCGGCUGCGCAGGAGAGCGCAGCAACUCACCAUGCUUUACGGCAAGGCAUGAGAAGUCCCAGGCGCAGGUGAAGUCCUGGGAAGUGGCUCCUGCGUCCGCCCAGCAUACCUGAGACUGCAGUUACACCGCGCCUGGCGCCUGGAGUCUCUGCUCAGUGACUGAGUGACAAGACCUGCUCUGCUCCUCUCUGACACCUGUCAGAGCCUCGUCCGUCGUCUGUGUGCAGAGAUGGAAAUGAGCAGGAGUGACACAACAUGCCAGAGGUGACGGUGACGGCUCACUUCUCUCCCCCGGCUUCUGAAUCAGUUGCACAGCUCGUUGGAUGGCUCGGGAACAAUAAUUAUCCACUCUGAAACUUUCAGAUGAACCUUAUUUGUGAUGCAGUGAUGUCACACUCACUUUGACAUGUGAGUUGUGAUGCUAGGGAUGUGGUGCCAUGGUUAUUGACUGUCAACACAUGUUCAACUGCAAAUAAGUUUGGAAAUUAUGUUGCCAGAUCUAUAUGUCGACAUUGCAUACAAGCCUAUAGACCUUAAAGCCAGAGUAUGUGACUUUAAAAGGAAAACAUACUCUUCCUUUUACAAA